rnacentral:rRNA from 1 species
GGUUAAGCGACUAAGCGUACACGGUGGAUGCCCCUGGCAGUCAGAGGCGAUGAAGGACGUGCUAAUCUGCGAUAAGCGUCGGUAAGGUGAUAUGAACCGUUAUAACCGGCGAUUUCCGAAUGGGGAAACCCAGUGUGAUUCGUCACACUAUCAUUAACUGAAUCCAUAGGUUAAUGAGGCGAACCGGGGGAACUGAAACAUCUAAGUACCCCGAGGAAAAGAAAUCAACCGAGAUUCCCCCAGUAGCGGCGAGCGAACGGGGAGCAGCCCAGAGCCUGAAUCAGUGUGUGUGUUAGUGGAAGCGUCUGGAAAGGCGUGCGAUACAGGGUGACAGCCCCGUACACAAAAAUGCACAUACUGUGAGCUCGAUGAGUAGGGCGGGACACGUGGUAUCCUGUCUGAAUAUGGGGGGACCAUCCUCCAAGGCUAAAUACUCCUGACUGACCGAUAGUGAACCAGUACCGUGAGGGAAAGGCGAAAAGAACCCCGGCGAGGGGAGUGAAAAAGAACCUGAAACCGUGUACGUACAAGCAGUGGGAGCACGCUUAGGCGUGUGACUGCGUACCUUUUGUAUAAUGGGUCAGCGACUUAUAUUCUGUAGCAAGGUUAACCGAAUAGGGGAGCCGAAGGGAAACCGAGUCUUAACUGGGCGUUAAGUUGCAGGGUAUAGACCCGAAACCCGGUGAUCUAGCCAUGGGCAGGUUGAAGGUUGGGUAACACUAACUGGAGGACCGAACCGACUAAUGUUGAAAAAUUAGCGGAUGACUUGUGGCUGGGGGUGAAAGGCCAAUCAAACCGGGAGAUAGCUGGUUCUCCCCGAAAGCUAUUUAGGUAGCGCCUCGUGAAUUCAUCUCCGGGGGUAGAGCACUGUUUCGGCAAGGGGGUCAUCCCGACUUACCAACCCGAUGCAAACUGCGAAUACCGGAGAAUGUUAUCACGGGAGACACACGGCGGGUGCUAACGUCCGUCGUGAAGAGGGAAACAACCCAGACCGCCAGCUAAGGUCCCAAAGUCAUGGUUAAGUGGGAAACGAUGUGGGAAGGCCCAGACAGCCAGGAUGUUGGCUUAGAAGCAGCCAUCAUUUAAAGAAAGCGUAAUAGCUCACUGGUCGAGUCGGCCUGCGCGGAAGAUGUAACGGGGCUAAACCAUGCACCGAAGCUGCGGCAGCGACGCUUAUGCGUUGUUGGGUAGGGGAGCGUUCUGUAAGCCUGUGAAGGUGUGCUGUGAGGUAUGCUGGAGGUAUCAGAAGUGCGAAUGCUGACAUAAGUAACGAUAAAGCGGGUGAAAAGCCCGCUCGCCGGAAGACCAAGGGUUCCUGUCCAACGUUAAUCGGGGCAGGGUGAGUCGACCCCUAAGGCGAGGCCGAAAGGCGUAGUCGAUGGGAAACAGGUUAAUAUUCCUGUACUUGGUGUUACUGCGAAGGGGGGACGGAGAAGGCUAUGUUGGCCGGGCGACGGUUGUCCCGGUUUAAGCGUGUAGGCUGGUUUUCCAGGCAAAUCCGGAAAAUCAAGGCCGAGGCGUGAUGACGAGGCACUACGGUGCUGAAGCAACAAAUGCCCUGCUUCCAGGAAAAGCCUCUAAGCAUCAGGUAACAUCAAAUCGUACCCCAAACCGACACAGGUGGUCAGGUAGAGAAUACCAAGGCGCUUGAGAGAACUCGGGUGAAGGAACUAGGCAAAAUGGUGCCGUAACUUCGGGAGAAGGCACGCUGAUACGUAGGUGAAGCGACUUGCUCGUGGAGCUGAAAUCAGUCGAAGAUACCAGCUGGCUGCAACUGUUUAUUAAAAACACAGCACUGUGCAAACACGAAAGUGGACGUAUACGGUGUGACGCCUGCCCGGUGCCGGAAGGUUAAUUGAUGGGGUUAGCGCAAGCGAAGCUCUUGAUCGAAGCCCCGGUAAACGGCGGCCGUAACUAUAACGGUCCUAAGGUAGCGAAAUUCCUUGUCGGGUAAGUUCCGACCUGCACGAAUGGCGUAAUGAUGGCCAGGCUGUCUCCACCCGAGACUCAGUGAAAUUGAACUCGCUGUGAAGAUGCAGUGUACCCGCGGCAAGACGGAAAGACCCCGUGAACCUUUACUAUAGCUUGACACUGAACAUUGAGCCUUGAUGUGUAGGAUAGGUGGGAGGCUUUGAAGUGUGGACGCCAGUCUGCAUGGAGCCGACCUUGAAAUACCACCCUUUAAUGUUUGAUGUUCUAACGUGGACCCGUGAUCCGGGUUGCGGACAGUGUCUGGUGGGUAGUUUGACUGGGGCGGUCUCCUCCUAAAGAGUAACGGAGGAGCACGAAGGUUGGCUAAUCCUGGUCGGACAUCAGGAGGUUAGUGCAAUGGCAUAAGCCAGCUUGACUGCGAGCGUGACGGCGCGAGCAGGUGCGAAAGCAGGUCAUAGUGAUCCGGUGGUUCUGAAUGGAAGGGCCAUCGCUCAACGGAUAAAAGGUACUCCGGGGAUAACAGGCUGAUACCGCCCAAGAGUUCAUAUCGACGGCGGUGUUUGGCACCUCGAUGUCGGCUCAUCACAUCCUGGGGCUGAAGUAGGUCCCAAGGGUAUGGCUGUUCGCCAUUUAAAGUGGUACGCGAGCUGGGUUUAGAACGUCGUGAGACAGUUCGGUCCCUAUCUGCCGUGGGCGCUGGAGAACUGAGGGGGCUGCUCCUAGUACGAGAGGACCGGAGUGGACGCAUCACUGGUGUUCGGGUUGUCAUGCCAAUGGCACUGCCCGGUAGCUAAAUGCGGAAGAGAUAAGUGCUGAAAGCAUCUAAGCACGAAACUUGCCCCGAGAUGAGUUCUCCCUGACCCUUUAAGGGUCCUGAAGGAACGUUGAAGACGACGACGUUGAUAGGCCGGGUGUGUAAGCGCAGCGAUGCGUUGAGCUAACCGGUACUAAUGAACCGUGAGGCUUAACCUU